rnacentral:lncRNA from 7 species
CUUCUUCAGAGAUCAUGCAGAACAGCUCAGCUUGGAGAAAGUCCUGAAGUUAACCCAACCAACUUGGAUAGGAAGGGCAGCAGCUUGGCUUUGUGGACAUGAGGCAGGAAGGUGGUGGGAGUUUUGUUCCUCACCUAGGGAUAACACAGAAGCUUAUAAACACACCUGACUUUCUAUUUUUUUCUUAUGAACUGUACCCAAGGAAGUGGUACCACCAAGCAGCUAUCUCCACCCUCUGUUGGGAUUGGACUCUGUAGUUUUCGAUGUACUGAUGACCAAGGCAUAUCAGAAACUUUUGUGAAUAUGGGGCCAAGUAAGAUUUGUGAAUUUCAGAAUUUCCAUCCUCCAGGAAAAACAGGUGUAAAAACAGAAGGUGCUCUACCCAGAAGAAAUUGCUGUCUGACCUAAUGCAAUUAUUUAAUUCUGGUGAAUGUAAAAGAAGUGGAUCGAUACAUACUAAUCCAGUGAAUAUAUUCUCAAAAAGAGAGAGGAAAUCUUUCCUUUGAAAAUAGAAAAAAUAUAAACAACUUUAUCCAAUACAUGGAACUGUGAAAUUGUUUUAUCACUGUCUCAAUUGCUGUGUAUCUGUAUGGUAUAGUAUGCAUCUACAAAUAACCUCAGUUAUGUUGCUACUGUAGAUUGCCUGUUUAUGUUGUAGUCUCUCUAGAGCAGCCACACAAUUUUUUUGUUUCACUGUCCAUACUGCUCAUUAUUGCAUCUUUCUGUGACAUUCACUGCAAAAAAUACAUUUU